AACACUUCCUUUUCCUUUUCGAACUAUGAUGCAAAUUCACGCUACCGCUUCAAGGUCUGUGCAGGACGCCAAUAUGAAACCUUCAAUGGUCUCCAAGAGCUGUGGGGGCCAUAUAGCCCCAGUGCUCUGUUCUCGACCUAUAAGCAUCACUCAGGGCAUGACAAAGGCAGUGGGGGUAAAGGAAAAGGCAACCACAGUGAGAAAGGGGAAAAGUGCAAGGUAGGGUUUGCACUUAUUGCUGUUUUGUGUGCUGUUGCAAUUCAGUUCUUCUCGUUCAUCUAGUCUAUGAUUAGGAAAAAAGAAAACAAACUAUAUCACAUUUAGAAAUCUUAGAGACAUCUUAAUGCUCAUGUGUAUACUUAAUGCUUUUAGUUAGAAAGUAGAUAUAUCUCAAUGAUUAAUCAUAUACUUAAUGCUUAUUGAUGCAAAGUAGUAGCAGAAAACAAACAAAACAGAAACCAAAAUAUUAAAAAAAAAAAACAAAAAUCGCUAUCUUCACUUUACAAGCUUUUAUGACAGUAGAGAGAUUUCUAAGGAAACAUGUACCUUCAAUUUUACCAUUUCCAUUGUUCUCUCAACAAACAUUGUCUUGUUAUAUAAAACUCAGUUAUUUGUGGAAAACACGUUUUGACUUCAUUUUCAAGUUAACAUUUUCAAAGAAAAUUAGGACUAUGAAAUGACAACACUAUUUUGAAAUUAUUUUAGAACAAAAUAAGAAAGAUCACUUCAAUCUGUCCUGUUAACACCCACAUGAAUUAAUAAAAAUAUAUCUACC
rnacentral:lncRNA from 1 species